CGCGUAGGCGGUUUGCUCAGUCAGCUGUGAAAGCCCCGGGCUUAACCUGGGAACUGCAGUUGAUACUGGCAGACUGGAAUGCGGGAGAGGGAGGUAGAAUUCCAUGUGUAGCGGUGAAAUGCGUAGAUAUAUGGAGGAAUACCAGUGGCGGAGGCGGCCUCCUGGCCUGACAUUGACGCUGAGGUGCGAAAGCGUGGGGAGCAAACA
rnacentral:rRNA from 1 species